rnacentral:sRNA from 1 species
UGUGUUAGAAGAUACAAAGCCAAAGACUUAUACGGACUUCAGCUACACUAUUAAAGUUUUGAGAAGCAAUAAGAAGCUUGGUUAGUGUUUUGGAGUCAAAUAUGACUAGAUGUCAUGUGUAUGAUUGAGUAUAAGAACUAGAACUACAACCGGUUCCCAAAAUCUAAAGUAGUGUUUCCUUGUUAGAAAAUACAAAGCCGAAGACUCAUACGUACUUCGGCUACACCAUCAAUGCUUUGAGAAGCAAUAAGAAGCUUGGUUAGUAUUUUGGAGUCAAAUAAGACAAGAUGUUAUGUGUUUGAUUGAGUAUAAGAACUAGAACCGCAACAUCUUCCCAAAAGCUAAAGUAAUA